GAUGAACGCUGGCGGCGUGCUUAACACAUGCAAGUCGAACGAUGAAGCCCAGCUUGCUGGGUGGAUUAGUGGCGAACGGGUGAGUAACACGUGAGUAAACCGCCCUUGACACUGGGAUAAGCCUGGGAAACUGGGUCUAAUACUGGAUAUGACUUCUCAUCGCAUGGUGGGGGGUGGGAAGAUUUAUUGGUCUUGGAUGGACUCGCGGCCUAUCAGCUUGUUGGUGGGGUAAUGGCUCACCAAGGCGCCGACGGGUAGCCGGCCUGAGAGGGUGACCGGCCACACUGGGACUGAGACACGGCCCAGACUCCUACGGGAGGCAGCAGUGGGGAAUAUUGCACAAUGGGCGCAAGCCUGAUGCAGCGACGCCGCGUGAGGGAUGACGGCCUUCGGGUUGUAAACCGCUUUCAGUAGGGAAGAAGCGAGAGUGACGGUACCUGCAGAAGAAGCGCCGGCUAACUACGUG
rnacentral:rRNA from 1 species